rnacentral:rRNA from 1 species
AUGAUGAUUUCGAUGAUUAUGACAACGACCAUUAUUAAGAAAGCCUACCUUAGUAGAUUCUUCAGUACUGAAUUCGGACCUGUGGAGGAAGCAAUAGUAAUUACCUUUUCUAGGAGUACUGAAUUCGGACCUAUGGAUGAGAUUCCGAGAUUCAGUGUCAGAUCAUCUGUCUCAAGAUCACCACUUACCGGCGAUAUCACUGAGAAUGCUCCUUAUAACACCGGCAGUCCACAUGGUGAUGCAUGCAGUGAGAGCAAUGUCCACAGCCAGCAUGAUGAUGAGUGCAGCAGAAGCAAUGGCGAAAGCCUGCCGGAUGGUGAAUCCACCUCAAAUGGUAGCUUACUUUAUGUGAUUACUGUGAGCAUAGUGAAGUAUGAUUUGAUCGAGUCAUCUGCAGCAAAGCCUAAUUUGAUUGUGUCUGGACCUCCUGAAAAAAUCGAACAAGGACCAUUACAGAAGCCUGAUUUGGUCGAGUCCGCACCUACAAAGAAACUUGAUUUGAUUGAGUCCAGUACCCCUAGGAAGGCUGAUUUGGUUUAG